UGGAAGGUUAAGGGGAUCUGUUAGAGUAAUCGAAGCAGUGAACUUAAGCCCCAGUAAACGGCGGCCGUAACUAUAACGGUCCUAAGGUAGCGAAAUUCCUUGUCGGGUAAGUUCCGACCCGCACGAAAGGCGUAACGAUUUGGGCACUGUCUCAACAACAGACUCGGUGAAAUUGUAAUUCCGGUGAAGAUGCCGGAUACCUGCGACAGGACGGAAAGACCCCAUGGAGCUUUACUGUAGCUUGACAUUGGGUCUUGGUACUACAUGUACAGGAUAGGUGGGAGGCUUUGAAACCAGGACGCCAGUUUUGGCGGAGCCAUCCUUGGGAUACCACCCUUGUAGUACUGGGACUCUAACCAUAGGCCAUGAAUCUGGUCUUGGGACACUGUCAGGUGGGCAGUUUGACUGGGGCGGUCGCCUCCCAAAAGGUAACGGAGGCGCUCAAAGGUUCUCUCAGUACGGUCGGAAAUCGUACGUAGAGUGUAAAGGCAAAAGAGAGCUUGAUUGCAAGACAUACAGGUCGAGCAAGGAUGAAAAUCGGACUUAGUGAUCCGGUGGUUCUGCGUGGAAGGGCCAUCGCUCAACGGAUAAAAGCUACCCUGGGGAUAACAGGCUUAUCUCCCCCAAGAGUCCACAUCGACGGGGAGGUUUGGCACCUCGAUGUCGGCUCAUCACAUCCUGGGGCUGUAGUAGGUCCCAAGGGUUGGGCUGUUCGCCCAUUAAAGUGGUACGCGAGCUGGGUUCAGAACGUCGUGAGACAGUUCGGUCCCUAUCCGUCGCAGGCGUAGGAAAUUUGAGAAGACCUGUCCUUAGUACGAGAGGACCGGGAUGGACG
rnacentral:rRNA from 1 species